rnacentral:rRNA from 1 species
UACGAAGGGGGCUAGCGUUGUUCGGAAUUACUGGGCGUAAAGCGCACGUAGGCGGGUUUGUAAGUAGGGGGGUGAAAUCCCAGGGCUCCAACCCUGGAACUGCCUUCUAAACUGCAAGCCUGGAGGUCAGGAGAGGCGAGUGGAAUACCGAGUGUAGAGGUGAAAUUCGUAGAUAUUCGGUGGAACACCAGUGGCGAAGGCGACUCGCUGGACUGGAUACUGACGCUGAGGUGCGAAAGCGUGGGGAGCAAACAGG